rnacentral:lncRNA from 1 species
UUUUUUUUUUUUUUUUGCUUUAAUCUUAUCAAUUUCAUAUUUUAUAGCAGUGAAAAAGGUGUAUCAUAAGAGAGAGUUUGAAUGAAAUUAGUGUUCAGAAAUGAUAAUAAUGUAAUGAGAGAUGAGAACUUCUUUCAAAUAUCAGGGGGACAACGUGAAAAGGAAAAAAGGUGCUCUCUAAACUUGAGGGAGGUCAAUUAUGAAACAAACUAAAAAAUUUGUAAAACUUUCAAGCCUAUCCUAGAAGGUUAAGCAAGGCUAAAAUUUUCCACCUCUAAGACCAAUCUGUCUUCUCUUUUUCAGAACUUGAAAUUUGGAAAACCUUAUAGUCGAAAGGGCAGAAAUUGACAGGCAUGUUUUCAUAUAGAACAAAAAGCAGAUAGACUGAGCCACAUUCACUCGAUCACACAGCUUAAGAGCCUUCCUCCAGUACCCUAAACAAGAGAGUGACAUAAGAGGUACCACAACAUGGAAAGGCCUCUCAAAAAGUAUUGCAGAAGACCUGGAGAACAUGCUACGUAAUGGAGAUAACCUGUGCGUGGAAAUGGAUCCAUGAACCUACGACAGCCAAAGAUGUAUAUUCAACAAGUGUGUUAUUCCCCAGAAAGUGGAACAAAAACUUAACAAGGAUAUGUAGACUUGGAAAGAUUAAGGCCAUUUGAUGAAAAAAUUCAUCUUCCAAACAUAUCUUACGGAGGUUCCAACUUUGAAAUGUGGAAUUACCAAAUAGACAUACAUAACUCUGAAGUAUCACUAAUUGAAGAAAAAGAAUCCCAGAAUUUCAUAAUCUUGACAAUCAUCUGUUAGUCUUCAACAGAACACAUAAGAUUUUGAAGUUGAAGUAAAGCGAGUCAUAAUAAUGCCUCUAAAGAAAAGCUCAUUCAGCAGCUAGAGGGGCAUCCCCGAUAGAGUAACGCCUAUGUAACUCCCUUGCUCCUCCCUCGUCGACAAUCUUAAUUACGAAGUUUGGUGGGGCCACAACCAGUCUUGACCGAAUCUCUAUUAUGCACUUGUCAACCAAUUCAACGGCUUCCUCCAAUGUCAUAUCCCUGUGGUAGUGCCUAUCCAUCAUGGCAAGUGAAAAAUAGGACCCAUAACCAAAUGCUGCCUUGUCAACCUUGUGAAGACUAGCAAUAUAGUCAAUGUAGUACAAGGAUGGACCAGUCUCCUUGUCAUAACCAGCCAGAAGGAUAUUGACAGUGUAAGGGUUCUGAAGAAACAAAUACCAGAUCUCAGCAAAGACACAUAAGCAAUACUUAAUUUCUAACACAUAAUACAAUUGGAAACUAAAAUUUUCUUUCCCUUUCAUUCACUUGUCCCAGAAGGCCAGAGUCUCAAGUAAACUGGCAGGGAAAAAGGACAGAGAAAAAAUUAAGAUAAAAAGGAUGCACCACUGACAAGAUGGUAAACUGGAACUUGACCCACUGACUAGAUGGAAAACUGAAACUUAUGCCAGAGGAACGCUUCUCCUGCUGAGAAUGAGUUUCUUUCUUUUGGAUGCAGUUGAAAUACCCAAUAUCAUUUUAUGUUCCAUUUUUGUAUAUAGGAGACAGUAUGGUAUGAUCUUUCUUACAUUGUUUACUCUUCAACUGGACAAAGUACAAAAUUUCAGCACUUUUAAGCUGACUGACCUUAAGACAGACCACUUCCACCUAUCCUUGCAUGUGUACUUACAAUUUAUGAAAAGAUAAGGCAGCCACACACACACGACCAUGCAUGAACAAGAAUAAACUUUUCUCCAAAUAAUAUUCAUGCUGAUAAUUUAGGACUUUAGUCAACUUCACAAAACUGGAAGUUCAAGCAAGUUUGGGAACCUAAGAACAGCUUAAUUGUGUCAUUGCUUGUCACAUUUGCGUCUCUAACACAAACACUACCAUAGAUUCCAGGCUCCCACGCAAGAAAUAAUAGAAAAACAAACAUAUGAAAACCAAAAGAAGCACAUCUCUUGACUUCUUUGGCCAUCACAUACUCUUUUUGUGAAGGAAAUAAUACCAGCCUAUAACCUUUUGCAGACAGUGAGUCAAGUCAUAUUGUACUUUACCCUAAUGUCCAUCUGAAAACAUAUUAAUGCUUGGUUAGGAAUGCAAAGUAUAUAUACAAGAUAAUAGUGUGUACAGUAGACCCUGAUUUGUCCCAAACCUGGGCAAGACUUUGACAUAUAAGUAUGAGACUCAGUGUCCAAGUACAACAUGGUAAAUCUAUUUUGGCAAGACAAAUCAAGGCAAAUAAAAGAAGUCAACUCAUAGUGCUGGGACCAUGACAUAUAUCCCUACAACAGGGAUUGACUUUUUGACUUGUAAUUAGCAUGUCAGAGAGAACUCUAUCGCACUUAGGGAAGGGGUCUGAAAGCUGAACUUCAUUCCCUUCAAUGAAAACUUAAGCACAUUCAAGCUGGAAGUGUUGUCUGACAACAUAAUACCUUCCCCACCUUCCUUAGCAUUACAUAGCAAGUUCACCAUCCUAUCUUCCUCACUCAUCAGCAUCCAUCAACACUACGUGUCAAAUGACCACACAAAACAAAAACGCUCAACAUGUCACUCUUUCAAUAAAACUCAGUCCAAUAAGAAUUCACUCAUGCUACUGUAAAUGAGUAAUUGAAUACUGUUCACGAUGUUUGUGACUAUCGUCUUGAUAUGCCAUUAUCUAUGCCUAAAUCUAAAUUCAGCAUGAGUGUCACAAACAUACCAUCUUAUUCUCUUUGUGCCAUGCCAAUGGAAACAAAAUGAAAGCACUCACUUGACAUCGAACCAGACAGAAUUAAGCAUUGCCAAAUAAACAAUGCCAGAAAAUUACCUUGAGCAAAGAGAUGUACCCUGAAAAGGAUCUUACCAAUCUUAUUAUCUAUUAGAGAUUAGAUGUAAGUAAAUUGUGGAUCCUCUAAUCAAUGCGAACAAAUAGAUUAGAACUCUAGCCAACUCAUCUCAGGCAAACAUAUGACAUACCAUAUUGGAUGGGUCCAACAAUCUUCAAGACAUCACAUGAUGUAGUAGAGCAGCGUUACUAAUUCUGUUACACUGUAUUCUAGCUCCAGAAAGUUAUACCAUAUUCUUGAGUUUCCGCAAAACCAGUUAGAAGUUCCCCAGAGGACUAAUAGUAUCCUGGACGAAAGCCUAUCUAAAACUGCAGUCAUAUGUGAUAGCAUCACUCCCCAUGGGAGGUCAGGAAGGUCGUAACAUUGACUUGAAUUACACUAACAAUCCAAUUUUAAACCUGAUUUUCCAUUUUAUCUUCUUGUACAAUAAAACCUAAUAUUUCCUCAAAAGAACUGUAACUUCAAAUUUUCAUAUUUCGCAAUAUUCCAAAGCCUCUUAAGCCAAGCAGAGUGUAUAAAACCUGGAAAAUUCUUACCUUGCGCAAGGCAGUAGCAAGCUCUCCCCUUGUGAAAUUAGCAGCAGCUGCUGUGGUUAAAGGAAUGCCAUUACGGUACUGGUACAAUGCCACAUUCUUCUGUAUGUACUCAGUAAACUGGACCCUGGAAAUCAUCAAACAAAUGCACAGAACACAAAAAUUACACAACUUCGUCACAAGAAUAAUAGAACAGUUGCCAUAUAACACAUUAAAUACCAGUCCUUAACCUCAAAUUUUUACCAACCAUAUAAAAUACAAUUUUACAAUAUCUUAAGCAAAUAAUAUAUCAAAACAUGUGGUACUAUUGAACUGUCAAACUAAUAAAAACCACUGCAGUCAGCCAUAUCAUCAAACAACGAAUGAAGUUCCAAUUUCAGAAAUAUCUACUGAUUUCAAUAAAAUUUAACAGGCAAAGAAAUAACAUAGCAAUAAAACUCAAAAUCCAUAAUAGCAAAGGAAAAAAUGGCAAAUACCCACACCCCCAUAUCAUUAUGAACCCUAAAAAAUCCCAAUUUCACAAGAAAAUUCUAAAUAUAGACCCCAGUAGAAAAAUGAAAUUGUCAACCAUUACCAAGGAAUUAAAAUCAAAACCCACACUCCAAAUUCAACAAAAAAACAAAAACCCAGAACCCAACAGCAUAAAACAAAUAUCCUGAAUGAUCCCUAGUUUAUUUAAAAGAAUGAAACCUUAACUUUAUCCCAGUAAAAGCGUCCAAAUUCAAAUAGGCAAACAAAUUAAUACCUGUCACCGGCUUCACCGCUAGCUCCCAUGAGCUUAUAAUCAUCAAGCUUCAUGAUUUUAUCUUCAUCAGAUUUGUGAACUAAGAUGCUGUGAACUGCCGAUGUAUCCGAGACCACCAGAGCAAAACCCUUCCCAACUAGUCCAAAUACGCACUCCAUCUUUCUCUACUGCUAUUUUGUAAGAUUAGAUUAUCCUUUUAUAUGUACCGGAUCUAUUUGAUUUGGUUUUUCUGGAUGUCUUUUCUUUCAAUUCCCUCCGAGGGGGCUUUCUUGAUUUUUCUUGGACUGAAGUUUGCUUGAGGAGAGUGAAAGGUUUAGAUUAAUGAAGGCGUCUUGGGGAACAAGAAGACCCGGCCUGAUUUGGACUAGGACCCGGGAGAGUCCGACUUGGAUCCGGAGCUCUUAUGAUGCUGACACGACUUUCAAAUUAUACUCGUCUGAGUAGGUAAAUCUCCCCUGUGGGGUUAAGUUCCCACAUCGCUUGGGGGGGUUUGGGGGGUUUAGUAGUUAAGUGCUGCGGAGCACUUCAAAAGUUGCCGGCUUUUGAAGUGUCUUCGCAGAGUCCAUUUAUCGAAACACUCAUACAAAAAACUGUGAGUUAUGAAAGGGAAAAACCUGUCUCGGGGAGUCUGGGGGGUCUUUAUCUCUUAGCAGCGGGGCACCCUGUGGGGUUAAGUUCCCACAUCGCUUGGGGGGGUUUGGGGGGUUUAGUAGUUAAGUGCUGCGGAGCACUUCAAAAGUUGCCGGCUUUUGAAGUGUCUUCGCAGAGUCCAUUUAUCGAAACACUCAUACAAAAAACUGUGAGUUAUGAAAGGGAGUAGGUAAAUCUCGUGCUAUCCAACUGUUAUAUACACGAAAGUCGUGUCCUUCCCGAAGACCUGGCUACAUGGGCCUAAUGAGUGGAUUUCAGUGGACAAUGUUUUGGGCCAAGUGAGUGGAUCAGUCCACUAUGACAAGAUUAGCCAACAAAGGUCCAAAAAAAAAAUUUUUUUUAAACAAAAAGGUACAAACAGAAAAUUUGUCUUGUGGGAGAUAAGUAUAUCAACAAAAUUGGAGAAUGAAAGUUUACUAUUAAAGUGAGUCUCAAAAACAAGAAAUGGUAUGGAUUUUUUGAAGUCUAAAGGGGCUUAGGAAAAAAAUAAUUUUAUUGAAAGAGUUGAAACUUACACAAGUUUUUUUUUUCUUAUUUUAAUUAUUUGUUACUUGGUGUGGUUACAAAAUAUGUCUAGAAGAACAAGAUUGCGAACAAAUUCUCUGAAAAAAAAAAAAAAGAAAAAUUGACAAGGUUCAAAGACUCCAUUUUGGGCACAAGAUACCGCCUUUCCCUUUUGUAAAUCUAAAAGGAUGAUGAUAUGGACAGCAAAAGCCAAAAUAAAAAGCAUCACAUUUUUAACACAAACAAAUGAAGUUGAUAUUUUCGUGAUUUAUUAGUUGUUCAUUGAUGACAUAUAGCAUUGUUUCUGGUACUAUAACACUUAUUCAACCAACGAUUUUAGUUUUGUAAAUUGAUGUUUUCCAAUUUAACCAAAGAAAAUAUAUAUCUCCAAUUUGCAAAGUAUUAGAACAAAAGGGUACUUAACAAUUUCCUUAAUAAUACCAAACAACAACUCAGAAAUAAAUAUCGGAAAAUUAUAAUCCAUUCAUCAACUUCAUGUGGAUGGAACCAAGUAUAGAUUCACCGUCCUUAAUUAUAUUUCUCAGGGAUAUCUCAGCAUUGGUGAUAUAUCACAUUUUCAGUAACAUUUUGGUCAUGAUGGUUGAAAAUCGGCCGGUUUUGUCGGUCCAGUCCAAUCUUGCGGUGGUGGGAUUCACGGCCGGGGGGUGGUGGCGGUGGCGGUGCCGGACAAGUUGGUGGCCCUGGAGGUGGACAAGGUGCUCCCUUUCGGAAAUCGCAGCGGCACCUCCUCCAGGAGCUACACAAUAGGGGAGAACAACGCCGAUGCCUCGGUAGCACGGCCUACAGGUUUCCAUGCAUGCGUUUACAUCAGGGCAACCUCCUCCUAUGGUUUCCAAGUAGGAAGCAUCCACUUUUUCAUCCAAGAACUUCUUAUCCAAGUUCUGAACAUAAUCAUUAAACUGCAUGCAGAUGAAGUUAAUUUGAGCAAUAGAAAUAAUAACAAGAUGGUUUUCUUGAACUCGAAUUUCGUGAGAAAAAGAAAGUGAGAUUGGAGGAGUUAAUUUUUCUUUUUGGUCUCUGGUUCGGUUGUCAAUAAAAUCAAAGGGAGAAAAGAUUUGAGAUGAUCUUGUCUGAUCUCUUCAUGUUGUCUAAAUUUUUGUCUAAUAAUUUGCUGCAUCUUAUUUGUUGUCAGAGAAAAUUUUAGCAGUUCUUCUUCGAAGAAAAUAAGGUAAUAAAACAACACGAAAAGAAAGGAAAUGAAGAAAGAAGUAGACUGACUGACCUAAAGUAGCCACAAGGAAAAACGAGAACAAAUGCAGCCUUGGCCAUUUUAAAUAGGAUGAUAAUUGUAAUGACAGUUUUUUUUUUUUUUUUCUCUUUUACGGUUUUGUGAUUUUAAUUCUGAUUUAGCCUGGAAAAUAUGAAUGCAUUAAUUAUGUCCUGGUGGUAAUCUUUUCACUGCUAGAAGGAAACAGAGGGAAGAUUUAGUCUAGUGAUUCCGAUUCCACCAAAAAAAAAAAAACGCACACAAGCAAUUGCGUGUUUCUUAGUAAUAAUUUACAUGCUUCAUAGCACCAAGUUUUACAGCCUAGAUAAAGCCAACGAAGUCCAAAAUUGAAGGCGCAUGGCAUGAUCAUUCACAACUUUUUUACCGGUAUCAAAAAUGGAUGAUGAGGAAAUAUUUUUUUCCCCCUUUUUCUAAGUCUAGUAUAGUCUGAUCUCAAAUUUCAUAACAGCUUCCUGUAACAUUUUUAUUCACUUGAAAUAUAAAAUUAUAACAGCAAAAAUGACCAUAAUUUGAUCUCUAUUGAGUCUGGUUUGCAUGUUUUUGAAUAAAGUAAUUGAUGUGUUAAGAUUUCAAGAUAUUGGUGAGUGUGUUUGGAUGGAAUAUUAAUAAAAAAAUAUUAUUUACUCCCGUAUUUUUUUGUAUUGUAAUAUAUAUAUAUGAGAUAAAAGGUAGUUGAGAAUAUAAAAAAUAAUUGAAAAAUUAUAUGUGAUGCCAUAGCAAAAUGAUCUUAUUUGAAUAAAAAAGCAUCAUCAAAUUAAUCAAGCACGCAAGGAUUUUGUUUAUUUGAAAACCAAAUGAUCUUAUGCAGUUACCUUCAAGCACAUUGCUCCGAUGAGUGCCGAAAUAAACAGAUUGAUCUAGACGAGAAAUCUAAAGCCUCCUGCUGCCGAGACGCAAAGGAACCAGGAGUAGUAAAUCAGUGGUACAACCAGCGUUUACAGCAGAAACAGUUGGCAAAAUCAAUCUUUAGGGACAUUUAGAUGCAUUGGCAGAUUAAGUGUAUAUUUAUUCUAGCUUAUUAAUUUUGAUGAAUUAUUGCCUGGGCUACUAUUUUCUCUUCUUCUUUUCCCCCCCUUCUAUGCCACUGUUUUCUGGUAAUUGUAAUUCUGGCAAAAGCUGUCUCCUUGAUGAUCUCACUGCUUCUUCUUUUGAUAUGCGAAGCAGACUGUAUAUCAAAGGAAUAAAGGACGAUGAUAUGUAUGCAGUUUUUGCAGAUUUAUGGGAAUGCCAUGAUCGAACUCACUCUUUUUUUUUUUUCUCAUGUACCUUCCUCGCCUUGUAAUUUCAUGAAUGCAAAUCAGACAAUAGGGGAAGUGGGAUACCAUAUUUGUCCUUCUAAAGAAUAAACCAUCAGUAUGUUUUAAGGCCACUUAUGUUGGAUCUCUGCUUUUUAUGACAAGAACAGAACUGAAGCUGUUUUAAUGGCGUUUGGAGGUUCACAUUCUCAUUAGGGAGAGAAUUUUUUUUUUUGGAUUAUUCUUUUAUUAAUUGAAGUAUUGGAAGAAAAAUAAUAUGAAAAGGUGGAGUGAUCAGUGAUGUUAUAUUAAUUAUUGAUCUUACAGAUACAUAUGACCAAAAGUUGCAGUGGCUAAAUGUUGAUUAUGCAGGGAGAGAAUUAGUACGAUUAUGCUAAAGGUGUUUAGGGGAACAAAAUGUUGAUGCAUAUGAAGAGUACCAAAAAUUGCAUCAGAGAAUCACAAUCAAUACCCUCUUUGAAGAGGUUUAAAUCUCACAUCCUACAAUUAAAAAAAAAAAAUUCAAAGAGUGUUUCAGAGCACCCGUUUCGUCGUUAAGAUAGAUCUCUAUUCUUUUUAGCCCCUGAUACAACCUAGUUGGGUUCCCCCUCUUCUCUAAAAUAGAAUAGUGUAGACGCUGCUGAUUGACGAACAAGGCUGAAUAGGAUACCAAAAGUUUACUUAGAGUCUGUUGUACUUUUACGAAUUGCUCUAUGUAUAGUUUUUUCAACCUUAAUUAUGCUUUAUUAGCUGUAAAUGGAGAAUACAUGCAUCUGUACCAUCAACCUACAUAACUCUUUUCUAAGUUUUAGGUUUUAGUCUGGAAACGUUCAGCCCCAGAUAAAAUAUUUUUCUGUUGUUCAAGUAAUUUUGUUUAGUGAAUAAUAAAUAACAAUUAAAAAAAAUGAUAUUGUGCUGUUCAUCAUCAAGCAGCCGAUGAUCUGGCUAACGAUUCGUAAACUUUACAAACGCUGUUUGAGUAUCGCGUAUAGCUGCAUGGGCUUAGGAGGAGGGAAUAAUGGCUGAAACAUUUCACGAAAGUGUUCAGCUUGGAAGGCACCCGAGCAGGAAACUCAACAAUCUGCAAAGGUUGAAUGGACGAUUGGGUCACCAAUUUACGUAAAACUUCCUACAUCCUCUGCCUUUCCUCCUUCCAAACUAUACCGAUCCAUGGGUCCUAGCAUGCAUGACCAUACUCUAAAGCUUACGAUAAAAAUCUGCUAGUAUUUCUUUUUUCUAUGUCGCUGUUUGCUGCUAGCUACUCGGCAUACUGUCAAAAGUUGUUCCUUGAUCAUGAUCUCACUGCCUCUAUAUUUAUCCUCGAGUGUGCGUGGUAUACAGUUUGUACAAAAAGGGAAAGGACAACAUGCAGAUUUUUGCAGAUUUAUGCGGAUGCAUGAUUCAACGGCCAUCUUUUUUCAGUUUAAAGAGGAUUCAAUCUUCUUCACUUUGUAAUGUCAUGAAGACAAGUCAGACAAUAGUGCGAUCGAGAAGGAAACCAUCAUGUUCUUUAUAAAGAAAUGAACCAUCAUCUUUGAAGGCCACUAAUGUCGGAUCCCUCCUUUUCAUAACAAGGACAGAAGCUGUUUUAAUGGCAUACAUUUGGAGGUCAACUUCUUCCUUCCAUCUGAGUUUGGGACCAGAACAGGUCAAGAAUCUAGAUAUGUACUGGCAUAUGCAUUUUGGCUUUUGCCCUCCUGAAUCCAUCCUCAAUUCUAUCUUUUCAUUCUGCAUUUCCUUUGUGAUUUAUAAACUCCACAGAAGACGUUAAGUCCAUGAGCCUGUAGCAAAUUAAGUUGGAAGAUUUUAAUGUGUCAUUUUGUUAAUAAUCAUUUUACAAUUUUUUCAAAUAGCAGAAUUACACGAAAGAUUUAGAUCAUCAGCAACUCAAAACAGUUUCUACUGUAACAUGCGCAGAGUCUUUAAUGUCCUCAGUGUCCCACCACAAAGAAUAGACACCAUAGGGUGUCUGAGCAGGUUUCUUCAUGUUUUGGUUUCUUUCAUUCGUUUUCGCAAAUCCUUUUGGUCAAGGGGGCAUCAAAACGGGACCAUUUUGAAAGGUGUAAUCUUUUCCAGUUUGAAUGCUACCGAGGUAAAUUAUAAUGGAUUACAAAUCUGUGAAUAUUCCUCUUGUUUCUUCCAAUUAUUUGAUUAUUCCUCUUGUUUUGCAGGUUAAGCCUUCCAAUGGCUGCGGCGCUUCUGACAUUUUAAUUUCAGCGUGCGUGCAUGGAAGCAUGGGGGACUAAAUCAUGUUCCACUAUAAGCAUGGGAUUUUCUGCUAAGCUUAGUUUGUGAUCUAAAUAAACCCUGUGGGCCUGGUUCAUUGACAAGGACAAACACAGUCCCAAUUUCACCCGAAAAAGGGUCAAAUAGAGAGAAAUGUUAAAUUAGUCAGCUUUUAGUGUAUGCCCCUGCUCGAAUUCUUCUAAAAAUCAUCAAGAAAAUACUUAGAACUAGCGAGAAUGCUAGUCAUCAAUUCCAAUAUGAGUUAGAAAAGGAAAAAAUGAAGAUAAAAGGAUCCUCUAGAUGUUUGUUCAGGGAUUGCAGCCCUGCUGCAUUUUGCUUCGAUUUAAAUGCGUGAGUUCGUGAAGGCUAGCUAGAUUAUUACCAAAAAAAGAAGGCUUGUAAUAUUCUCAUGUUCUUCUAGGUUCAUAGGUCUCGCGAAAAGUUCAGGAAAGGAAACACAACCCUAUAAUUUGGGGACUUCCAAGAGGCCAAGUGUCAUGCGAAGAAGAAUAAUUCACACAGGCGUAAACAGUAAAGACAAAUGUGAAUGGCAUCUCUUUAUUACUCCACAACUUUGAAGGGAGAGAAGUUCUGAAUCAUGCCUUCUCUCUACCAAUUCACCUGCCAUAUCUGUAAACUUGUCUCCUACUUUUGUGGCUUCUGGUUAGCUUUUGCAGGGUAAAGAAAAGUAGACAAUAGAGAACAAGGCAGGAGGAGAUAACCAAGAAAACCACUUUUCAGUAAAAUCAUUGGCAUCAACAGUGACCAAAAUGCCUACAAGAAACUCAUUAGUCCUUUUCUCUUCUAUCACGUUAGCAAUGAGUAUACGUCAGAUCUUUACUUCCUCUCUUCAUUUGAAACAAAAAGGCAAAAAAAAGCCCAAAUGAUUAUUUUGACCAUGCAUCAUUCUCUUGCAGACAUCGAAUCUCUAACCCAACAAAUAAAGAAUC